GAUGAACGCUGGCGGCGUGCCUAAUACAUGCAAGUCGAGCGAACGGACGAGAAGCUUUCUUCUCUGAUGUUAGCGGCGGACGGGUGAGUAACACGUGGAUAACCUACCUAUAAGACUGGGAUAACUUCGGGAAACCGGAGCUAAUACCGGAUGAUAUUUUGAACCGCAUGGUUCAAAAGUGAAAGACGGUCUUGCUGUCACUUAUAGAUGGAUCCGCGCUGCAUUAGCUAGUUGGUAAGGUAACGGCUUACCAAGGCAACGAUGCAUAGCCGACCUGAGAGGGUGAUCGGCGACACUGGAACUGAGACACGGUCCAGACUCCUACGGGAGGCAGCAGUAGGGAAUCUUCCGCAAUGGGCGAAAGCCUGACGGAGCAACGCCGCGUGAGGGAUGAAGGUCUUCGGAUCGUAAAACUCUGUUAUUAGGGAAGAACAUAUGUGUAAGUAACUGUGCACAUCUUGACGGUACCUAAUCAGAAAGCCACGGCUAACUACGUG
rnacentral:rRNA from 1 species